AUGCCACUCUCGUCGAGGUUGUGCGGCAUGUCAAACUGGCGCUUGGGGAGGUUCUCGUCAUCUCCUUGCCUGGCUCUCGUCGAGGUUCUCGUCAUCUCCUUGCCAACUACUGAUUUAUUUGGGUGUUUUGUUGCUUUCUCACUCGCGUUUUUUCCCCACUCGCGGAUCCACUUCACAUUUUCAUACUCGCUGCUCGUGAUCCUUAUUCCUUCCCCGCUUUUUAAGCGAGUGGUCGCCGCCGGAUUACAGUUUAGAUUGUGGAAGGUACUUAGAAUGGAAUGA